rnacentral:rRNA from 1 species
UACGAAGGGGGCUAGCGUUGUUCGGAAUUACUGGGCGUAAAGAGCGCGCAGGCGGUCGUUCAAGUCGAGUGUGAAAGCCCCCGGCUCAACUGGGGAGGGUCACUCGAUACUGAUCGACUUGAAGGCAGGAGAGGGAAGCGGAAUUCCCGGUGUAGUGGUGAAAUGCGUAGAUAUCAGGAGGAACACCUGUGGCGAAGGCGGCCAUCUGGAAGAUUACUGACGCUGAGACGCGAAAGCAUGGGGAGCAAACAGG